AGAAAUAUGUCUGAUAAAAGAGUUACUUUGAUAGAGUAAAUA
rnacentral:tRNA from 1 species